rnacentral:rRNA from 1 species
GACGAACGCUGGCGGCGUGCUUAACACAUGCAAGUCGAACGGAAAGGCCCCCUUGUGGGGUACUCGAGUGGCGAACGGGUGAGUAACACGUGAGUAACCUACCCUUGACUUUGGGAUAACUUCAGGGAACUGGGGCUAAUACCGGAUAGGAGCUCCUGCUGCAUGGUGGGGGUUGGAAAGUUUCGGCGGUUGGGGAUGGACUCGCGGCUUAUCAGCUUGUUGGUGGGGUAGUGGCUCACCAAGGCUUUGACGGGUAGCCGGCCUGAGAGGGUGACCGGCCACAUUAGGACUGAGAUACGGCCCAGACUCCUACGGGAGGCAGCAGUGGGGAAUAUUGCACAAUGGGCGGAAGCCUGAUGCAGCAACGCCGCGUGCGGGAUGACGGCCUUCGGGUUGUAAACCGCUUUCGCCUGUGACGAAGCGUGAGUGACGGUAAUGGGUAAAGAAGCACCGGCUAACUACGUG